rnacentral:rRNA from 1 species
UACGUAGGUGGCAAGCGUUGUUCGGAAUUAUUGGGCGUAAAGAGCGUGUAGGCGGCUAGGUAGGUCCGUUGUGAAAACUCGAGGCUCAACCUCGAGACGUCGAUGGAAACCAUCUAGCUAGAGUCCGGAAGAGGAAAGCGGAAUUCCUGGUGUAGAGGUGAAAUUCGUAGAUAUCAGGAGGAACACCAGCGGCGAAGGCGGCUUUCUGGACGGUAACUGACGCUGAGACGCGAAAGCGUGGGGAGCAAACAGG